rnacentral:rRNA from 1 species
AUUGAACGCUGGCGGCAUGCCUUACACAUGCAAGUCGAACGGUAACAGGUCUUCGGAUGCUGACGAGUGGCGAACGGGUGAGUAAUACAUCGGAACGUGCCCAGACGUGGGGGAUAACGAGGCGAAAGCUUUGCUAAUACCGUAUACGAUCUAAGGAUGAAAGCAGGGGACCGCAAGGCCUUGCGCGUUUGGAGCGGCCGAUGGCAGAUUAGGUAGUUGGUGGGAUAAAAGCUUACCAAGCCGACGAUCUGUAGCUGGUCUGAGAGGACGACCAGCCACACUGGGACUGAGACACGGCCCAGACUCCUACGGGAGGCAGCAGUGGGGAAUUUUGGACAAUGGGCGAAAGCCUGAUCCAGCAAUGCCGCGUGCAGGAUGAAGGCCUUCGGGUUGUAAACUGCUUUUGUACGGAACGAAAAGGCUCUGGCUAAUACCUGGGGCACAUGACGGUACCGUAAGAAUAAGCACCGGCUAACUACGUG